UGGUGUUGAAACUCCUAUGGAAACACCUCAACCCAUCUCGAAUUUGAUGGUUAAAUAUAGGAGCGGUGAAAAUACUACAAGGGAAGCCUUGUGGGAAAGCAGUCGAACGCUAGAA
rnacentral:rRNA from 1 species